rnacentral:lncRNA from 1 species
ACGGAAGAUGGCGGCGGCGGCGGCGGCGGAGUGUAGGAAGAGGCACUGCUGAGGGGGCGCGAGGGGAACGGAGGCCAGAGCUGCGCUGACAGCAGCCAUGGCGAGCGGCAGUGGAGACAGCGUCACCCGUCGGAGCGUGGCAUCACAGUUUUUCACUCAAGAGGAGGGGCCGGGCAUCGAUGGCAUGACCACCUCAGAGAGGGUGAGCGUGGCGGGUAGGGCUUGGAGUGAGGAAGCAUAGCCCCUGGCUUUGGCAAUCCCUGUUUAGGUGGCAGAGCCCUGGGAGUGCCGAGGGGGCUGCACUGGGCUGGACUGGGCUGGCACUAUCCCCUGCCACUCCCCCUCCUUCCAGGUGGUGGAUCUUCUGAACCAGGCGGCGCUGAUCACCAAUGACUCAAAGAUCACAGUGCUCAAACAGGUCCAGGAGCUGAUCAUCAACAAAGACCCCACACUACUGGACAACUUCCUGGAUGAGAUCAUCGCAUUCCAAGCAGACAAGUCAAUCGAAGUGCGAAAAUUUGUCAUCGGCUUCAUCGAGGAGGCAUG